UGGGGAAUAUUGCACAAUGGGCGCAAGCCUGAUGCAGCGACGCCGCGUGAGGGAUGGAGGCCUUCGGGUUGUAAACCUCUUUUAUCGGGGAGCAAGCGUGAGUGAGUUUACCCGUUGAAUAAGCACCGGCUAACUACGUGCCAGCAGCCGCGGUAAUACGUAGGGUGCAAGCGUUAUCCGGAAUUAUUGGGCGUAAAGGGCUCGUAGGCGGUUCGUCGCGUCCGGUGUGAAAGUCCAUCGCUUAACGGUG
rnacentral:rRNA from 1 species